rnacentral:rRNA from 1 species
UCUACGGGUGGCAGCAGUGAGGAAUAUUGGUCAAUGGACGAGAGUCUGAACCAGCCAAGUAGCGUGAAGGAUGACUGCCCUAUGGGUUGUAAACUUCUUUUAUAAAGGAAUAAAACGAGGCACGUGUGCCUUUUUGCAUGUACUUUAUGAAUAAGGAUCGGCUAACUACGUGCCAGCAGCCGCGGUAAUACGUAGGAGGCAAGCGUUAUCCGGAAUGACUGGGCGUAAAGGGUGCGUAGGUUGUUUGACAAGUUGGUAGCGUAACUCCGGGGCUCAACCUCGGCACUACUACCAAAACUGUCGGACUUGAGUGCAGGAGGGGCAAAUGGAAUUCCUAGUGUAGCGGUGGAAUGCGUAGAUAUUAGGAGGAACACCAGUGGCGAAGGCGAUUUGCUGGACUGUAACUGACACUGAGGCACGAAAGCGUGGGGAGCAAACAGGAUUAGAUACCCUAGUAGUC